UGCAUUCAAUACUGUAAGUCACUCUGGAUAAGAGCGUCUGCUAAAUGACUAAAA
rfam:Salmo salar isolate Sally breed double haploid chromosome ssa26, whole genome shotgun sequence.